AAAAGAUCUGAUCCGGACUUUUGGUGUUUCCUCUGGUCUGGUUGAGUGUGCCGGACCCCACCUCCAGUUCCACCCACCGCUAAGCAACACAAACACACCACCAGUCCUCAUUUUCUGGAUCUGCUCUUUGUUAACAGAGCCUUUUCCCUCCUCUGCUUUUAUUCCAGGAGAGGGAGAGAGUGAGUGAGCGAGAGAAAAAGAGAGGGAGAGAGGGUGAGUUUAUCUUCUCCUUUUAAAGGAUUCGUUUCUGACUGAAUCUGGAUCUGGUUUGUUUUCCUUGCUCGGGGCUGCCGCCACCACUGCAGGAACAGAGCUGGUGCCCCUACUGAUGUAUUUAAAAACGGUUUAAACGUCAGGAACGGUUCAAGGUUUUAUCCACCAACCACCACCCGGCCUGUCAGUCAUUUUUUUCGCCACUGCAGUUUUCAAGUUGGAGCUCUGCUGGGAAAUGGACAAACCCCUCUAAACUAAAGACGCUUCCCAACCGUUCCGACUCAGCCACAGGACGUGAUUUGGACGAAGAUCCACGGAGUGGAGGGCUUUGUGUUUGCUGGUGAAAAGAAUCCGCUGUGGAGGAAACCAGCGAAGGACAAACAGCCUGUUUCCCUUCAUCUGCGGCAACAAUGGAGGCCUUUAUCAACCUGCUUCUCAGACAGUCACACCUGGGGACUGACCAGCAGCAGCAGCAGUGUCUGAUGUUUCCCUCCCCUCCUCAGUGUUUUUGGGUUAUGAUCAGCGUGGAUCAGGAUUCAAGUGAUGAACAGCUUCAGAGCCUUAGGCUGUAAACAGGAUUACUAAAUCUCUGGAUGCUCUCCAGAUGUUGCUGCUUUGUUUGUUUCAGAACUGUCUUCUCC
ensembl:lncRNA